GCAGCCGGGCCAGCCAGAGUUGGUGGCCAGACCAGAGUGGAGUGGGCACAAGGGAAGAGUGGGGAGGAGCGACCCCUCCCCUGUAGGGCCUCAGGGCAAUAGGGUGCACCCAAGAGCCAUCCGGAAGUGGGGCAGCCAGUCCAGGCAAAGGAGGAAGAAGCAAUAGGGCCCCCUCCCCAGCCCCAGAAGGCUCUGUGAAGCAGGCAGAGGGAACAGCAGGUCCAGGAGACUAGAGUUCCUCACCUGUCCCUACACAGCUGGGGAGGUGGAGGUGGGUAAUGAAGGGCUCAGUUCCCAGGAGCCAGCUGGCAUGGGAGGGUCGCACGUCCGGGGAUGGAGUUCUCAACUAGGGGUCCGAUGGGCCCCCAGCCCGGCCCCAGCCCUUGCCCUUCCUCACCACUAGAGCCACUUAGUGCUUCUGCCACCUGGCUGGCAGAGGCUGUGAGGACAGCAGUUGGGGCAGGAAAGGAGGGGCCCGAGAGGGCCAGGCGGGGCAGUCAGAGGCGGCAGAGGCCCUCAAGUUUCACUUCUGCACUGUGGGGUGUAGGCCCAUCCAGAGACCCCUCCUGAUGGGUGGUUCUGCCUCUCUGCAGGGGGGUGAAGAGCAUUCUGUGUGACCUCUGUGAUUCAGGACACGGCUCUGAAACCUCGGUGGCUCAGUUGGGAAGGGUCUGGGAUCUUAGCCUGAAACUGUCCCUGGUGGACAACCCUGUUUGUACUGCCGGGGGUCUGUCUGCUUUGGAAGGGCUGAAUGUUGACAAUGGCUGAAUGGGGCCCUUGGGUCCACCUGGGUGAACGUGACAGGGCUUGAGGAUGGGCUUUCACCCCUCAAUCCCCAUAAAAGGCAUCUUCCCACAACCUCCCCAAGGCUGCUCAGCAGCUCUGCAGUUGAUCAGGGAGGGAGGCUGUGUGAGCUUCAAGUUCUGUGGCCCGUCCCCUGAAGCUUCCCUGGAGUAGCAGUGUCUGUGUCUGUGCCCAGCCAGGGUGGGGCUGUGCCCUUCUUUCCUGAGCCUCGAGACCUAGUUUUCCUGAAUUGGCCUGGCCGGCUGGCAGAGGAAGAGUGCGAGUCAGGGGCCUUCGGGAGGGGAGUGGAAGGAUGCACCCCAGCCUGAGCUCUUGGGCUUCUGGGAAGCAGCCUCUUUCUCCUCCCGGCUUCUGCCUUGGACCUGGGCAGCCUCCCCUGGCCCCAUGCAAGCAAACAAAAUUCUUUGGCUGUUUACAAUUUUCCACCCUACCAGCCAAGAUCAGCAAGUGCCUUUGAGGUCCCCACCCACCCCUACUGUGCCCCCUACCUGCCCCCAGUGCUUUUAGUUCUUCAGGCUCAGGAUCGUGGUCUCAGUUUCAUUCCCUCCCAGCCCCGCGUCCAUACUGAAAAGUAGAACCAGGACCCCCACCAUCUUUCCAACAUUUUGGGGCUGUCCCCGCCCACCUGAGCCCUCUGCAUUGAUUCCCUUGCUUCUUGGAGCAGGAAGGGAGAUCUGCAGGGGUGGGAGCUCAACUUGUCCCUGUCCCCACAAAGUCUCCUUUCUGCUCCUCAGCCGCAGGUCCAAAUGUAUGCCAGACCCUGGACAGACACCUCGUGAAGGCAGCACUCUCGGAGCAGGGUCAUUGUCUGUGAGCUACUCUGGACUCUGGGAGUCUCUAAGGAUUCUGGAAUCAGUCAGCCUGGGCCCAAGUCUUGACAGAAUGGAACAAACUAGGAAGGUAGCUGUAUGGCUACCUGCACCACUGCCCAAGGGCCACCUCAGCCUCCUGACCUCUACCCUUUGCCAGGAAAGGCCUGCCUGGAUUCUUGCCCUGAUGCUGCCUGUUAGUGGCACAGCCCACCAAGGCCUUGGUUUUUCUUUCUGGAAAUAACUGGAUGGUCCUGCCCAUCCUACCACCUGCCUCCUCACCCCCCCCCCCCCCAUCACUAGCUGGAAACUGUGCCCUGCCUGGACUCUGGGUGGUGCGGCUAGGGUAGGAUAUUCAUCUGAGGAAGGCUGGAGACAACGCUCCCAGUGCCCAGCCUGGGCUGGGUCAGGCCUUGGCUUCCCACUCACACCUGUUUUAGCCAUUAAGGCUGGGGGCUCCAGCGUCACAACCUUCCCCAGUUCCGGCCACGUGGGUAUUAGGACACGCUACCCUGAGGACUUAGGCAUUGGGUCGGGGUGAGAUAGGGGGUAGGAAUGGGCCCGGGGAAGCCUGACUGAGAGGCCUGACUUCCCUGACAAUCUACUACCCGCCCGGGAGGAGAUUUCCUGAGAGAAGGUGUUGGGGCCCUUCCCCCACCCGCCCCCAGCCUAGUAUCCAUGCUCCCAGGUACCCUGGCCCACCUUUUUGGAAAGAUCAGUUCUUCCCCUCCUUGCCUGUUCCCCUUCCCUUCUGAGGGCCAUGUCAGUGCUGAGGUGGAGGGGCCGAGGGAGGGGCUGCCAGGAACCCUGGGCCUCUGGUUGUGGCCCUGCCCCCACCCGCUCCGCCCCUGCCCUCCGCCUCCUGCACAUUCCUCCUGGGCUGAGGUCAGCCCCUCAGGGAUGGGGUAGCCCCCCCCACCAGCCACAUCACAGCUCUCCUCUCCCUCCUGUUUUCUACAUUGCCCAGCAGGAGGGGGGAGGGGCGAGGCAGGGGCGGGUGGAGCCUCCUUCUCCCCUCCUCCAUAGUUUACGGGAGUGUGGGAUGGGGUGCCGGGAAUGCAGCCAAAGUAGACUAGGGUGGCACACCAUGCUUAUUAACAUGUAUUAACAUAAAUACUACCUUCCCUUAAUCGGUUUGGGUAUAGCUGCUCAGUAGUGCAGGCUGCGGGGCUCUGGAUGCCGGGGUGGGGAUGAACCUGCCUCAGGAAUCAACCCCCUUAAGUAGGCUGGAAGGGGCGUGGUUGAAUCCUGACUGCCACUCGCCAGCUGUGUGUCCCUAGGGAGAGACUGCACCUCUCAGAUCUCGCUCCUCACUCGCCCUGCGGUUGCAGCUGGCGGGCCAGGCAGGUCUGGCCACUGUGGCAGAACACAGGUGUGCGCUCUUGCUGCCACCUCAGCACUGGGCAUCCAGGCCUGAGAGCCUCGAAGCAGACCCUUCACUGCUGCCUCUUUCAGCCCUGCUUCACUAGGGCCCCUUGUCGGGCUUGGCUCCUCUCCUGUCCCCAGCCCCCGCCAACCCUCCGGCCACAGCCAAUGACUGCCUCCACCCUCCACCUAAACCUCCAUCCCUCCCCACCCCCUGAGGACUCCUCAGUCUUCCUCCAGGUCUCCAUCCCAGCCCUAGCAGGGCCAAGCCCACAUCCCUUCUCCUAGAGCCCCUGUCUCAGGGAGACCUUUCUGCCUCUCAGGUUGACCUGAGAAGGUCCCGCCUCCUCCCCCAGCAGCAUGCAGCCUGACCCCUUCAGCCUACCGCUCAGGCUGUGCCCCUGUGGUCUGCCACUCCUCCACCCCUCUGCAGUACCCUGCCCCCCACCUCAGAGAGCUCCCUGGAGCUUGGGGGUUCCUAGGCUUAGCCUUAGGCAACCCUGCCAGUGCUCUGGCCACCCAACUUCUGGGAGGCAGCAGUACUUUCUUUGCCAGGACUCUGCUUGGCCGGUGCCCUCCGGGCUUUUAGGCCAUCCUCUUUGCCACCUGCUGGACUCUUCUUCACCACUCAGUAUCCAACUCUCUGGUGUCAUUUCCAUUGUGAAGCCCCAGAUGCCUGUAACACCCAGGUUCAAGCCUCUCUGUGGGGCUCUGGGUUCCCCAGGGGCUAUCAUCAGUGGGGGCCCCAGGACCCAGCAGAGGACAGACCCAGGGAGAUAGGAGAUAGAAUGUUUGCAGAAAGCCCUUCCACCUUCCUGGGCCUGCUGAGCCUGUGGAGGAGGGGGAUGGGAGACUGAUGGACAAGGGACACCUUGGGUCCCUCCUUGACCCUGCACCAGCUCCGCCAAGAGGCCUUGAUACCCUCUACCCACAAUGAAGUCAGAAAGCAGAAUCAAUAAGGGAUAUUAAACUGAUUUUUCUCCUAAAUAAGAUCACCUGUGUGGCUUAUCUCAUGCAAGGGAAAAACCAAGACAAGAAGGAGAAAGGGAUCCAUGGUGUUGAGCCCUGCCCGCUUGGACACUGGUGCCCACCGCUGUUAUUAACCAAGGAGCUGAGUGGCCUGAAGAAUCCCUUAGAGGUGCAGCUCCGGAAGAAAUCCGCCCUGCUGCACAGGGAAAGCUUGAAGACUGCCGCAAACCCAAGGCCACGGUGGGCCUGGGAGGAGAGGGGAGCGAGUACUGGUGCCAGUAAGUGAAAUGACUACAGAGUGGGAACACUGAGGUGCUGUGUACUGGGCCUGAGGAUGACCUGGAGGGCAGAGCACCUGGGGCCCUGCCACAAAUGAGGUUUCAGGUUCAGGUCACUAUCACCUUGGCACAGCUUAGUCUGGGUCUCCGGCCCUGGGAUAGAAGAGUACUGAGCAGUACUUGGUAAUUUUUCUUUCUACAUUUUAUUAUUUCAAACCAGGUGAACAAUUCCAUAAAACAUGUGAAAAAAGCAAGGAAGUGUUCAACGCUGAAGGACCCGGGCCUGGGGCAAGGGCACGAGGGGCAUGGCCCUCAGCAGGCAGCAGCGGUUCCUAGGUUAGCGCUAAGGAGCUACAUUUAGGUUAAUGGAGCCAGGGCCCAGGGCCACUGGGACGGGGCCCUCAGUGAUGUUGGCAGUUGUCUGGAACAGCCCUUGGAACCCAGUUCUGUGGAGGGCAGGGCAGAUGUGCCGCCCGCACGGGGUAGGGGAGGGGCAGCCAGCAGAGGGAUGGGUGUAAACACGCAGACACACUCAAGGCACGGAAUCACUGGAAGGGGGCUGGGUGGGCGCUGGUCAGGAUCUGACAGUUUUAAAUAGUUUUUCUCUAAAAAGUUUUCUAGGUUUGCAGUUUUGUCUUUUUUUCCUUUACUUUCAUUUUUUUUUUUUAAAAAGCUACGAGAAUGAGCAGGUGGACUGUAGUCUCCAGGAAUGGUGGCGUCUCACGCUUCUUGUGCUUUUUCCUUUGGGGCCUCCGAGCGGCUAGAGGGGUGGGAUGGGCAGGAGGCUCCCUGUAAACAUUUGGACUUGGGCUGGGUCAGGGGCUGGUGUUGAGCGAAGCCAGGGGUCUCAGGCUGGAGAAGUGAGUGCCCCUCCAGACACAGGCCUUGGGAGAUUCAGCAUGUGCUCCCCUCCCCCAUCACAGAACAAGACAAUGGUUAACACCAGAAGAGAUGCCCAGGAAGGGGGUACCGCGGCCAUUCCCGGCACCUAGGACAAGGGCCGGCUUCAAAUAGGAGGGCCUGUGGCAGUUCCUCAACCCGAGUCUCUGGAGCUGAGGGAGGGAACAGGGGAGCCAAGAACAGAGAGAGGAAAGAGGGAAAAAGCAGCCGGGGAGAGGAGAGGAGCGGGCAGGCAGGGAGCGUGGUCCUCUUGCCCCCAUCUUCCUCAGGAGCUGGAGGGAGCAGAGUCGACGGUGGCCCUGGAGGUGGGGGACAGUCAGGGCAUGGGUCGGGAGGAAGCCAGAGUGUGCCUCUCCUCCCACCUCCCUAGACAAUGACCCUCUCUUUCUUCUCAUCCACCUGUUACCAGGGACACAGUGGCUGCCCAGGAGCCAGUGUCUGUUGCUGGGUUAUAUGAGGGAGGGGGGUCUGUAGCACUGGCAGAGUCCUCCCCAUCUGCCCCAGGGCUAGUGGGGCUGGCGUCAGCCCAGGACCCUCAGCUAGGUCUGAAGGAAAGACCGCAGAGCCGAGUGCAGAGCUGGUCACGCUGAGUGGCAGAUGGCUGCACCCUCUGUCAUCUAGCCUCCUUCGGGCCAGGCCAGUGGCUUGGUGGAUGACUAAGUUUUCUCCAAGGGAGGUCAGAACAGCCCUCUAAUUUUCUCCCGGCACAUGGCCAGAUGUUUCUGCUGUCUGGAUCACUAGCCAGCCUACCUGUGUGCCCUGACCUCAGUAGCCGACCUGACUUGCCACCCUGUGCUCCCAGGCAACCCCCCACCCAACCCAAGCCCUCCAGAGGCCCAACCCUGUCCCUUAUCUGGGCUCAAUGGCUCCACUUUGUUCCACCCCAGCUCCCUGCCAGCCUACCCACCCCACCACCGUCCCAGCUCACCAUCCUGCCAGGCCCCGCCCCCUUAGAAGAGGCCGCAGUCCUUCAGGUUGUUCUUGAUGAUGACGUCGGUGACGGCAUCGAACACAAACUGCACGUUCUUGGUGUCGGUGGCACAAGUGAAGUGUGUAUAGAUCUCCUUGGUGUCCUUGCGCUUGUUCAGGUCCUCAAACUUACUCUGGAUGUAGCUGGCUGCCUCGUCAUACUUGUUGGCCCCUGUGGGAGACAAAAUGGUGAGGACUUGUGCCACCUGUACGGCAGGCAGGCCUGUCCCACAUGAACGACAAGGUCCUGUGCGUGUGAACAGACAAGCAUAUAACAUGUGCACACAUGUGCAAAGGGUGACAGUGUAUGUGAAUGUACAUGCAUGUCUGAGUGUGUAAAGUGGGGCUCCUGAUUGUGCACAUGUAAGGGGUACAGGCCCUGUGUGCAGGCACAAGUACAUAGGCCUAAGUGAGGCACCAGCUCCUGCCUGAGUGUCCCGCAGUUACCCUUCUGUCCAGCGGGGGGCGCCUGUGCACCACCUGGUCACCACCAGCUCCUCCCCAGAGGCCCAGUCCCCACACCUGUGUACUCAGGGAAGCAGAUGGUCAGGGGGCUGUGUGUGAUCUUCUCCUCAAACAGGUCCUUCUUGUUGAGGAAGAGGAUGAUGGACGUGUCUGUGAACCACUUGUUGUUGCAGAUACUGUCAAACAGCUUCAUGCUCUCGUGCAUGCGGUUCUGGGGGCAGGACAGCGCGGUCAGCACCCGCCACUGCUCCCCACCCCCACGCCCCCCUCAGCGGCCUCUCGGCCUCUCACCAUCUCCUCGUCCUCAGCUAGCACCAGGUCAUAGGCGCUCAAGGCUACGCAGAAGAUGAUGGCUGUGACACCCUCAAAGCAGUGGAUCCACUUCUUCCGCUCAGACCGCUGACCGCCCACAUCAAACAUCCUGCGGACACAGGGUCGCCUUAGCUCCAGAAAAGGCAGUUCCGAGAGACAGUCCGCAUUUCACAAGUUGGCUGACUGAGGACAGAGGCCUGCUCAGAGUGGGGCAGCUGUCUUCAUGGAAUCAUUCACACUUGUCCACCUUACUCAAGGUUCUGGGUCAGAGCAUGUCUGCAUAGUGGGGUCAGGGCUGGUCAGCAGGGCAGGCUGCAGCCACAUGGGGCAGGGGCAGCAGAGGAUGUGAGCCACUGGCAACCAUACAGCCUUGAGAAACCUCAGAGCAGGGAAUCCUGGGGAAUCCUGGACCAGCCCCUCCCUCCCAAUACAGCCAUUAGCAGGCCUUGGAGUAAGGGUCCCUCCGUCUGUCGCCCCAAAGGCUAGCAAGUCCUGCCCUUCCACCCUGCCCACAUGCUGGCUCACUUGAAGUGUAGGUCCUUGAAGGUGAAGUGUGUCUCCACGAUGCCCGUGGUUUUCACACGGGUCCGUAGCACGUCCUGCUGUGUGGGGAUGUAGUCGCUCUGCGCGAUGCGCUCCAGGUCAUUCAGGUAGCUAGAUGUGGGGGCAGGCAGGUCAGUGGGGGCCAGCAGGAGGCCUCCUAACCUGGACGCCGGGCCAGCUGACCCAGGCCCCUAUUCCUCCCAUCCCCUCAUUUCUCAAAGCCCUUGCCUCUUCAACCCUUGCCUUUAUGACAUUCAUUGCUCAGAUGAGAAAAACUGGACCAGAAGCCCUUGCUGCCUCCUGCCUGUGGAACGGGCCCGGAGGAGGUGCGGCUGUGACCGGCCAGCCAAGCCCCAGCACCCAGGUCCUAGCCAGGCCUGCCUCAAACAGGAUCCAGGCCUGGUAGAGCUGCAAACUGAGGAGGGUGGGAAGGGACAAAUUAGUCUUUCAGUGAGGGAUUCAGGAUGCUAAUUGGCACAAUUAUGGCGCCCACUACAGAGCAGCCUGGCAUGUCCCUCAAUGCGGGGUUGGACAGGUUGGGGCCUGUCAGGCUCAAUGGGCUCUUUGCCCAGCAUCCAAUAAAAUUUGGACUCCUCAGGGGAGAGCAUGGGCACCUGUUUGGCAGGAGUCCCAGGGGCUCCUCAUUACCAGCUCCCUUGAUUAAUAUCAACACUGCUCUUGUCAGGCCCUGGGACCAGCUCUGUCUGCCUCAAUAUCCUUGAGGUGCCCUGGGGACUGGGCCCAGGCCUCUGAGCCGCUGCCCAGUGCCGAUGUCUCACUUCACUCCUGGCGCAGGGCUGUUGGGGCCAGCAGGAAAUGACCUCAGAGACGCAGGGACAGAACAGAAAAACAGGAAGGACCAUGAGGGCCCAUGACGCAUGGGCUGUGACCUGCUUACGGCACCCCGCCACCUACUGAGAACCUCUUGCCCAGAGGCCUCCUGGUGGCUUCCACGCCAGCCUCCCCCUUCUCCACAACAGGGUUCACCCCAGGGUUCCACUGACCCACAGCAGCCUUGAAGGAUUGCUGUGAAGAGGGGUUGGGGCACUCCUGUUCCCUGUAGUGUUCUAAUCCACUCCCCACCCCUAGGUGAUCUGGUCACGGCAUAAACCUGCCUGGGAGAACAAGACCUGUGUCACUGCUGGAUCCCCACCCCCAGAACAGUGCUGGGCACACAGCGGGUGCUUAAUGUCUAGGGAAUGAAGGAAUGGGGAGUAGCCUGGAAGGGACCCAUACCUACCCUCCUUGAGUAUCCUGGACACUGAGGUGGUAAUGGUUGAUAGGACCCACCCCUGCCUGCCUCUAGGACCCAUAAGAUCUGCUGGUGCUGAGCCUCUGUGACCUCUGAGACGGGCAUCGCUGAGGUCUGGAGACCCCCACUAUGUUUGUUUGUUUGUUUUUUUAAUUUUUUUUAAAGUUUAUUUAUCUUGAGAGACAGAGUAGAGGAGGGAGAGACAGAGAGAGGGAGGGAGAGAAUCUCAGGCAGGCUCUGUCUGUCAGCACGGAGCCCGAUGCGGGGCUUGAACUCAUGAACUGUGAGAUCAUGACCUGAGCUGAAACCAAGAGUCGGACAUUUAGCCAACUGAGCCACCCAGGAGCUCUGGCCCCCACUAUGUUUGGCUGCUAUUCUGCAACUCCUCUGGGGGGCACUCACAAGGGCAUUCAGGACACUGCAAGGAGAGGGAGGCGCUUCAUGUGACUGGGGCAGGGCUCAGGGUGCAGGACCAGGCAGGGCCAGCCUCCUAUCCACCCUCACCCUGGUCCAGCCCCUCUCUGGGCGGGCUCAGGACUUGAAGGGCAGCACAGCGGGGUAGAAAGGUGCUGCGAACAGGGGCUGGCUUAAGCAGAGGUGGGAGAGGUGAGGUAUGAGCACAGGGGCAGCCGCCUAUCUGCCUAUUUGGCGCAGUCCAAAAAGCCUGGGCACGUCUCCCGCAGCCAUCAGCACUGGCCACCAACCUGUCCUGUUCGCCAUGGGUGCUCAGCCCUCUGCAUCAGGCCUGGCAUACGGUAGGUAGCUCAGGGAAGGAGUUCAGAGAAUGACCCCAUAGGCUGGGCCUCUGGAACUCCCAGAACCCCCUGUGAUUCCCCAGCCAAGUCUUAGGCUCUAACUUAAACACAUAUCUGUCACCUCCUGGUCUCUUCCUCUUGUAUCUUCCUCUCCAACCAGUCUGAACAUCUUCUGGGACCUCCGGCACAGCCAGCACUACUCACUUCCAGGCCUGUGCACAUGUGCCCCUGCCUAGGAGAUUUUCCUGUUCCUCCUCUGCCUAUUUCUUGUUCAGAACUCAGCUGAGGCAGUCCCUGCUCUAGACCUACCCCCACUCCCACCAUAACACUGACACUGUAGGUUGUCGCUACUUGGGGAUGUGUCUACUCCAUCAUCGCUGGGUCCCUCAAGCUUUGCACAGGGCCUGGCACAGGAGGCAGCAAAUGUUCUUUAGAAUGAUUGCGUCUAGGGGCACCUGGGUGGCUCAGUCAGUUAAGUAUCAGACUCUUGAUUUCGGCUCAGGUCAUGACCUCACGGUUCAUGAGUUCAAGUCCUGCAUUGGGCUCCACACUGACAGUAUGGAGCCUGCUUGGGAUUCACUCUCUCUCCCUCUCCCUCUGCCCCUCUCCUGCUCGUGCAUGUUCCCUCCAAAUAAAUAAACAAACAAACAAAUUAAAAAAAAAAAUUUUAAAUACAAUGAUUGUGUCUAAGGACAGAUCAGACUCCAGUUGGCCCUGGAGGGACAGCAGCCCUGCCUGUCCUUCCUCCUGACUUUCAAUACCAUGCCCCCCACCUCAAAGCAAAAAUCACCAAGGCCUUGGUUGACAGUCACCAGCUUCAUAAGCAGAGACUGGCAGUGUCUUUCUGAGAAUGCUCAGGCCCUCCAUUCUAGGCUGUGGUCCAGAGCCCCCCUCACCCCACCCGGCUCCUUGGGGUACUCACUAGGCAGCGGAGUCGUUGAGCUGGUACUCCCGAGAGCGGCCAAAGCAAGCCUGCACACCGUGGUCAGCCCAGAGCCUCCGGAUGACACCAGACAGAUCCUCAGGGAGCACGCCUUGCUCCUCAGCAGUACAGGAGAGUGCAAACAGCUGCCUGGCAUCAUCCUGGGCGCAGUGUUGAGGUGUCAGCCAGUCACAGGAGUUCACCCCCACCCCACCUGACAGGGGCCUCCAGAAUGGGGCCCAGGCUUGGGUAUUUCUAGGUUCCCCAGGACAAGGCUUGCCCUGAAGCCUUUAGGGAAGCAGGCAGGGGUUGAGGAGAGGACAUACCGCUCGGGAGGGGUCGGCAAAGUCAAUCUGCAGAUUGCCCAUGGCUUUGACAAUGGCCAUGAUGGACUGGAUGGUGUUGCUGUAGACGACUGCCCGGUACUGCCGGCACUCCUCCUCGGAAUAGCCAUCCUCAUGGAUGAUCCUGGCAGCCAGGGGUCAGGAGUUAGGGCCCCUAGGGCACGAGGACCAUACAUGGCCUCCUGGGGCUGCUGAAGCCUGCAGGGACCUAUUACAGAGAGAAGGAAACUUCCCCCGACCCUCUGGGACCUGAGGAUGGGUGAUUGCCUCCAACAAGGUCCUGGGCUUGGCUAAGACUGGCUGGGCCACUACUUGGUUGGGGGGGGGGGGAGGGGUUGUGUGCAACAUAGACCCAGAGAAAGAAGAGGGGAAAUCAGGGUUUGGUGGCUGUCUCUUGCACAUAGCACUUACUUCAUCUGCUUGACAAUGGUGCUCUUCCCUGACUCCCCAGCACCUAGAACAGAGGGCACAGGCUGUCAGGGAGCAGCCCCGGUGGGGCUACAUGUGGCCCAGCCACUGGCAGCCCCAGAGGCAGAACCCACCCUCCCCCAUCAACUGCACAGGGAGAUGGAGGCAGUUGGGCCUGGGAGGCAGCAAAACUACAAGGGUGCAGCUGGCAGGGCCACAGUGGUCAACACCCCAGGCCUUUGCUUCCCCCAAGCUUCACUGCCCACCACAUUACCCCCCUCAACAGCAGAAUGAGCUCAGGGGCUUUGGUUGGAGACAAGCCCUCAGAAGUCUCCUUGUCAUUCUCAUGCAAGCAGGCUCGCCAACAUGGUGCCAGGGCACAGCUGGCAGGAAGGAGCCCUGCACACUCUAGCAGGGGAGCAUUCCCUCUUCUCCCCACACUCUGAGCCACCAAGGGGCCUGGGCUAGGACAGUGUCAUAGUCCUGCCUCCUAGGCAUGGCCCAAGUCUACCCGAGCAGAUGGAGACCAGGACUUGGGAGACACGCAGCAUGACUGACACACACACACUCAUACACACAUACCCUUGGACUGACUCAACAUGCUUCCAAGCCUGGCAGAGGCCCAUUCUA